rnacentral:lncRNA from 1 species
GAAGCUGACUGACCACCUAAGAAGUUGUUCCAGAUGUAAUCAGCAACUUGCCUUGCAUCAUCAGCUGAAGUGAGAGAGUAACUUCCGGCGGCCCCUCCAAUCGAGAGGAGGACUUUUAUGUUUUUUGAUUGGCAGGUUCUGAUGUCGGCACUCAGCCCGGUGCAAGUACCACUAGCGGGGUCGCAGUGGCCGGCGAGGUUUAGGACAGGGGUUUGGUUGUUUCCGAAAGUAGUGAGGAAAGCUAUGUUAACAAACUGGUAGUUGCCUGAGUUGCAAGCAUCUGCUAGGGUUCCUUCGUUUCCGUUUUGGCCCCAAUAGACCGCAAUUCCGGCGGCUUGGGAGGACUUGCAUGAAGAAAUGAGGAUCAAGAGGGACAGCGUUAGGGCUAGGGUUUGUGUUUUGGAUGCCAUUUUUAUAUGUUUUUUUGGGUUGUUGUUCAAAGUGCUUGGGAGUGGACAUGUACUUAUAGGUGCAGGGGACUUAUCGGUUAAGGUUUAGGGGAAGAAAAGUAUGACAGACGUGUUCUGCAGGUAAGAGUCUUCUGCUUGCAACCGCGUCAAUCACGUUAGGGCCUGUUUAUUUAGUCCAAGUUUCACUUUACAACUUAGAACACGUCAAUUAAAUUAGGUCGGGUUGAAAAUGCAUUUUCCAAAACCACUUUCACACAUAAGCGCUUCUUAUAUUUUCAUAAAAAUGCAAGUGGUUUUAUAAAAAAAAAAACUUGAGGUGUUUGGCGUGUGUUUUUUCAGAAAGCACUUAAAAUAUUUUUUCAACCUAAAAUCACUGAAUUUUUUAUGAUUUCAAAGUUCUUUUAAUUGUUUUGAAGGCACUUCCAACUGAUAUUUUAUAAAAAAUUACUUCUAGAGAGAAUUAUAGCAUGCUAAUUGAGAGAUUCCGAAACUAAAAAGCCAUCAAAUUUGCCAAAAAAAAAAUCUGAUGAGACAAUACGUGGAGAAUCAACACAGCUGUAUCAUCACCAAAAAUUUUCAGUGUGCAGAAAUACAGUCCGGUACAAAGUGUUAUAAUAAAAUUGGUUGAUUUUUUUUUUUAAGUUUCCAACUAAUUAUAUUAUUACACUUGAUGUACCGAUCCGUAUUUCUGAAAAAUCUCUCCUUACCAUCACAUCACAUGAAUGUUUUGGAAAGUUCGUAGAUAGAAACCAAAAUCUCUCCUUAUCAUCACAUCACAUCACAUGAACGUUUGGGAAGCUCGUCGAUAGAAACCAAAUGGAAUAUGCUUUUAGCUGAGGAUGGCCAUUGGCCAGGGACUUCGGUCUAAUCACGAUGCUUUAAUUUCGCAGUCGGAAAAAAACUUUCGAAUAAAAUUUAGGGUAUAUUUAGGAAGUGUUUUUAAAUGAUUGAAAACAUUUUUAGAAAUAUUUUUUUUUAAAAACGUUUCCAGUCAUUUAAAAAAACUUCUUAAACGAGUUUAAUUACUUGUGUAUGGGGCAACAUUUAGCUAGUAAUGGUUCUCAUGAAUUGGAUUGUGGUGAUGUGAAAAUGGGUUUGGGUUAGUUUAGUUUAGAGUUUAUAUUUACUAUCCGGUGCAUGCAAAUGGAAUGUCAAAUCUUUCAGAGAAAUUUUGAUAGAACUGCCACUUAGGGCAACACAUAUUAAACAAACAAAUGUAGGGUUGGAGAAGACUAAAAUACAUGAAUUCUCGUGUUUUCAUAAAUGUGAUCUAAAAAUAAUAUAGCAUGUGCCCUGAGAACAACGUGAUCAGUACCUAAUCGAAGUUCUCUAGUGUGGAAAGAUUCAAGAGGGGUGUGACGCUUCCGACAAAUAAAAAAUCACACAUUUUCGAAUUCGGAAAUGUAUAGAACAGAGCAGAUAUCACUAGAUGAAUGUUAACUGUUUUACAGAAAAUUUAUAAGACAAUUAGAGUUAAACAACAGAAGCUUGCACUUUAAAUGGUUAUGUCCAGCUGCUUUUGGUAUGUAUAUGCUUUUUCCAUGUCUCGAUGUAGUUCCAGUUCACUGCUCAUCAUCCUGGAACAAUGCUUUCGAAACAGAGCCGCACGGCUGGCUACUGUAUUCUCGGUAAUCUUCAUCGUCAUCACAGCUGCGUUGCGAGCAUGAACGUUUGAUUCCUGUCAUUGGGGUUUCACAGACUCUGUCAUCGCAUGAACCUCUAUGAUCCUUCCUUUUAAACAGCUUUCGAAGCGGAUUUGACUUUGGUUUCAAUGGUUUCAGCCGUUUGGGGGCCCAAACUCUCUGCAGAUCGGGCAUCCAUCUUGUGGAUGAAGCGAAUCUCCAAGCCCUCUCUCUCCUCUCUUGAGCUUCAAGUAACUUGCGAGCAUGGUCGUCCUAUUGUUUGAUCUCUUCGACGCUUGGUCUUCCAAUAUCAGUUUUCAGCGGACGAAGAGACUCACCUUCUGCUUGUAAUGAGUCCCAGAUUCUAUAACUUCCAUCCACUUCGACACUCUUCGGUUUUUCUUUACAGGAUCGAUUGCUAUCCUCACUGUUGAGUAAACUAUUAGGGAGUUCUUCCUCAUCAGCAAACAGUAACAAAUCCAUUUUCGUAUAGAUUUUGUGAACCACAUCUUCAAGUGUCUCACAGUACCUGAAAAAUGUCCAAAUUCAGGCUCUUGACAAUUUGACAAAGCAUUUCAUUGAAAAGGUUCAAUCCUUACUACCAUUAUAAUUUAUAAUGUGUUGUAUGGUUUACCUCGUAAUGGUGCUAAGUUAUUUCUACAGUUUUGGGGCAUUUUUUUUGCAGUUUCGGUGCAAUUUUGAUGCAGUUCUUUUUUUUUGCAAUUUUGCUGCAUUGUUGUUGCUGUUUUUGCUGCAUGUUCAUUGAUUAAUAAAAAGGUCGUACCCAGUGCACAAGGCUCCCUUGAUUAAUAUAUGAGAAAAAUAAGACUGUCAUAUGCUUAAAUAGGUGUAUAUUUUAAAUUAUACAUUUUUUUUUCAAAAAUCGAACCGAAACUGUUUGAAACCGUACCGCACCAAACCAAACGGUUUGGUUUCAUUUCAGUUUUGGCUUCAAAACUGCACCGAACCGCACCGCAAAAAAAUUUGGUUUCGGUUGCGGUUUCACUCGAAACCGCACCGAAGCGCACCGCGCCCACCCCUACAGGGGACUUGUCGAUGAAGGUUUAGGGGAAGAGAAGUAUGACAGACGUGUCUUGCGGGUACAAAAUGGGUGCCAGUCUUCUGCAUGCAUGGAACCGCGUGAACCAAGUUAGGGCCUGUUUAGUCCAAGUUUCACUUGACAACUUAGAAAUUUGUCAAUUAAGUUAGGUCGUGUUGGAAAUUCUUUUUUCAAAAACCACUCAUAAGUGCUUUUAAUAUUUUUCGUAAGAAUGCAAGCGUUUUUAGAAAACACACUCAAGGUGCUUAGCGUGUGCUUUUUUUUAGAAAGCACUUUUAAGUGUUUUUUCAACCUAAAAACACUUGUUUUAAAGACACUUCCAACAAACACAUAAUUAAUGGAAAAUUACUUCCAGAGAGAAAUAUAGCAUGCUAUUUGAGAGAUUCCAAAACUAAAAGCUAAAUAGUUAUUAAGCGUGACCUUAACCAAGGUGAAAUAAAAUAUCAAAUUUGACAAACAAUCUGAUGAACGUCAUAGCUAUAUGUAUAGUCAGUAGAUGAGAUAAUCAUGAAACAAAACGUGGAGAAUCAACACAGCCUUAUCAUGGCCAAAAUUUGUCUGUGUGCCAGAACCACGGCCUAGUACACUAAAAGUGUCAUAAUAGAAUUGGUUGGAAAUUCAUUCGGUUACAACUGACUCUGAAGUCUUUAUUUCUGCACAACCACAUAGUGAGAUGUUUGCUUACCAUGCAACCAUGAUGUCCAAUACUCUUGGUACCUCAAUCGUUGUCUUUACCAAAACUGGUUUUAUGGCUAUUCUAUUGAGCCAUUACCGACCUACCGGGAUCAUAUUUGCCUUCACGAAUGAGUGAGUUUUCAAUUUACCUGUCACAAAGGCAUUUAGUUAAAAUUUGUAACUGUAUCAGUCAAAAUAUGCUGUGAAAGUUCUAUUCAUUAGCAAGUACUUUGAUUGCCAUGCAGUAAGAGCAUACAACGGAGAUUGGCUUUGUAUCAAGGCGUAUGUCCAAUAUAUACAUGGAGUUCACAGAAGAUUCUGAAACAAGCUUUAGCAAUGCCUUGACUGUGCUGAAGGUGAUGUUUUGCUGCAGAUUUCCUAAAUUUAUGGCGACGUAUGCUAUUCAACCAUGCCAGCACUGAUGGUUCAUUUUCUGUUGUUCUGUUUGCAGGAGCAAGGAUUGGUAAAGGCAGGAGAAGAGGUCGCACUCGUUCAAAGUGGCAGGCAACCCAUUUGGCGGCUCCAAUCCACUCACAAAAUUCAAGUGCGCAAAAUUUAGGUGCAACGGAGAUGGAAUAAUCGCCCUCGUAACAUAGAUUUCUUCGUCUACACUACAAAAGUUUCAAAUGAUAGCUUUUGUGUUGUACUUCCAGCGGAAUUGUCGUGAUACUUUCUUCCUUUGGUUGUUUUUUUUCUUCUGUUGCACACUUUUGUGAUCCUAUCAAUGUGCUUCUUUUUGUUUCCGAUUUCCCCCUAGUUAAUUUUGGCGUAUGUUUUAGAACUGUAAGUUGUUAAAGUAUAAAUUUGGCAGUUUGAAUGCAAACUGUCUAAAUUUUUUUAAUAGUUCGAUUGAGGAAACAGAUCGUCACACUCACAUUCUAAUAUCCGCCGCUUACCGUUUGUCGUGUGGCCGUUUAACACUGACUAAGGUAGAUCUCACAUCAGAUCAGCACGGGACUAGGUUCCGUGCUCUUGUGAAAGUUAUUCUACGUACGACGUGAUUCUACACAUGGUUUGUGGUUUGGGCUUGAACCGGUCUCUACGAAAUGAGGCAGAUUUUUUGUUUAUUAACAAAGGUCAAAAGUCAAACAAAAAUUGUUGAUACAGACUAUCUUAAACAAAAUUAAACAACAUUCGCUUGAAUAAUUAUCAAAUUGACAAUGUCUCAUAGGUGAUGCUGUCCAUACACUCUUUUUAUUUUUCACUCACUCCUCCCAAUUUUUAACCGUCAGAUCGAAUAAAUUAAAGAUGAUCAAAAGACAAAAAUUAACUGAAGAUAUGUGAAAGAAAAAACAAAAUGUAUAUAUAGCAUCACCUAUCUUAUUAGGAUAAUGACAUCCGAUUUAUUUGAUAUAAUCUUUUAGGGAAACCAAAACGUUGAGUUACAAAAGUCAAACUCUUCCGAUGAUGGAAUAACUAUAUCCAUUUUUAUCAUCACAAAACUCGGACCCUAACAUCACACCACCAUACUUCGACGACUUCUUUAUCACCAGUAGAAUUUCCGAAUUCAGCAAAGCAGCCACAAUAUACCCACUUCUGGCCACCUCAGGAGUGGCCGGCAACCCCAAAAACAUCUUCCCUUUCUAAUACAUUAAUGAUGUCAGUUGGCGUCUUAACAAGAUGGGAGACUUUGGAGUCGCUUUAUUGGGAUCUCCCGAGUACUCGGUACUCUAUGUAUUUUAACCGUUAAAUCUUUGUUUAAAAAUAUAAAAAUCAAAUUCUAACAGUUAAAAUAUUCAAAAUAUCCAUAGUACCGCUCGAAAUUUUUUGAGACAUUAAAUGCAAUCCCUCCAAGAAAUCAUCUCAAAUUUUUUUGAGACAUUAAAUGCGAUCUCUCCAAGAAAUUAUUAGAUUAUACCGUAGUACCAUCUCAGCCGUGGUAGUUUCAUCCAAAGGCUAGCCUUUACAAUAUGAGCUAGCCAGCCUUCAUGCACACAGUGCCUGCCAAUCAUGUAAAACCAUUGACAAUGAUACAUGACAAUUUAUUUGGACCUAUAACUUCAUUUCAUAACUACAUCAGAUAACCGUUUAUGUGCAACUAUAUUUUAUUCAAUUUCAAAAAUUAGCAUAUGCAAUGACAUGUUUUAUCGUAAAAAGUACAAGAAAUUUUCAACGUAUCACAAAUACAAAGUGUUAUACCACAUGUCAUUAUAUAAAGAGAAAUUUUUUAUAUUUUAAGUCUGUCUCCACUUAUAUAAUAUGUGUUGUACCAUCCGAAUUCCGGAUCAGUAAAAGAUCUCUCCAAAAAUACAUAUGCAUGUUUUAUUCAAAAGGUUAGGAAUGAUGCGUCAUCAUCCCUAACGCACUUUAUUAUAAGUAGUAUCAUCCAUUGAGGCAGAGAAGUUAAUUAGAUGCUGUCCUUAAUGGAUGCACUAUAGCCGUUGACAAUGUCAUACUGCCUGCCCCAGAGCAUAAUUCCUCCGUACUUGGGCGAUUUCUUAAUCGUUGGAAGAACUUGUGACUUGAGAGCGUCAGCAGGAAUAAAUCCGCCGCCCGGAGCGGCCUCAGGAGCUGCCGGUAUACCCAAGAACACCUGGGUGGCCGGAACCGAGGCCCAUUGGUUCCAACUGCUCAAAAGAGCGUCGGCAUUACCGUCUGCAUACUGGCAUGGGGGGUUGUUGUAGAACUGAACCCAAACGUAGUCAAAUAAACCGGUUUGGAUAGCGCCGUCUAGGUGAGCAUCCGGGAUCGGACAUUGUGGAGCUGCGGCUAAAUAGACCGUUUUUGCCUGUCCGUUGUGUCCGUUGAGUGACCUGGCGAGCUCAUCAUAGAACUGCGCACCACCCGCCUCAAUGUCGAAAUCAACGCCGUCCAAAACCGCGUCCCCAAGCGGGCGCGAAGCGGACUGACCACCUAAGAAGUUGUUCCAGAUGUAAUCAGCAACUUGCCUUGCAUCAUCAGCUGAAGUGAGAGAGUAACUUCCGGCGGCCCCUCCAAUCGAGAGGAGGACUUUUAUGUUUUUUGAUUGGCAGGUUCUGAUGUCGGCACUCAGCCCCGUGCAAGUACCACUAGAGGGGUCGCAGUGGCCGGCGAGGUUUAGGACAGGGGUUUGGUUGUUUCCGAAAGUAGUGAGGAAAGCUAUGUUAACAAACUGGUAGUUGCCUGAGUUGCAAGCAUCUGCUAGGGUUCCUUCAUUGCCGUUUUGGCCCCAAUACGUCGCGAUUCCGGCGGCUUGGGAGGACUUGCAUGAAGAAAUGAGGAUCAAGAGGGACAGCGUUAGGGCUAGGGUUUGUGUUUUGGAUGCCAUUUUUGUAUGUUUUUUUGGGUUGUUGUUCAAAGUGCUUGGGAGUGGACUUGUACUUAUAGGUGCAGGGGACUUAUCCGUUAAGGUUUAGGGGAAGAAAAGUAUGACAGACGUGUUCUGCGGGUUAGAAAUGGGUGCCAGUCUUCAGCUUGGAACCUCGUCAAUCAAGUUAGCUAGGGCCUGUUUAGUCCAAGAAGUUUCACAUAAAACGCCGAUUAAGUUAGGUCGGGUUGGAAAUGCUUUCUUCAAAAACUACUUACACACGUAAGCGCUUCUUAUAUUUUUCAUAAGAAUGCAAGUGCUUUUGAAAAAAAACACUUGAGCUGUUUCGUGUGUUUUUUUCAGAAAAUACUUUAAAUGUUUUUUCAAACUAAAAAUCCAUUAAAGCUCCUUUACUUGUUUAAGGGCACUUCCAAAAUCAUAUUUAAAGAAAAAUUACUUCUAGAGAGAAUUAUAACAUGCUAAUUGAGAGAUCCCGAAACUAGAAACUAGAUAGUUAUAAUGAAGCGUGACCUUAACUGCUUAAUUAAGUGAAAAAAGCCAUCAAAUUUGACAAAAAGUCUGAUGAAAGGUCAUAGCUGUAUCAUCUGUAGAUGAGAUAAUCAUGAAACAAUGUGGGGAAUCAACACAUCCUUAUCAUCGUCAAAAAAAAAAAUUCACUGUGCUGGAAGCACGUUCAAUUGAACGUUUUGGAAGUUUGUGGAUAGAAACCAAAUGGAAUAUGCUUGUAACCAAAAUUGCUGGCUGCUAUAUACAUCUUGGAUUUUAGCUGAGGUGGCCAUUGGCCAAGGACUUUGGUCUAAUCACGAUGCUUUAAUUUCGCAAUCCAAAAAAAAAAUUCAGAUAAAAUUUAGAACACGUUUUGGGAGUGCUUUCAAAUUACUGAAAGCGAUUUUAGAAAGAAAAAAAAUGUUUAUAUAACUAAUCUUUAAUAAAAAUGCAAGUUAAUCCUCCAAAAGUACUGAAACUAGUGCUUCUUUGAUAAAACACUUCAAGUGCUUUUGGAGCUCAAAAAUAUUAUCUCAAGUGGUUUCAGUCAUUUAAAAACACUUUCUAAACGAGUUAAUGACUCGUGUAUGGGGCAACAUUUAGCAAGUAACGGCUCUCAUGAAUUGGAUUGUGGUGAUGUGAAAAUGGGUUUGGGUAAGUUUAGUUUAGACCAGUCAGCAGUGUUUAAAAUAUCCACGACAUUAUCGAUAUUUUCGUUGAAAUAUCCUUAAAAUUAAGGGUCCAUAAGCAAAAGAAGGAUGAAAUGCAAACUUCACCCUAUAUCGGCAAGAUACAAGAAAACAAUGAAUAUAGACAAUAUGUAACAACUCGUCCCAAGAUUUACUGUAUAUAAAUGGUAUUUUUGUAUUUUCAUCAAGUUUGGGAAUUUAUCUUCCUUUUAAAAUUUGUUUUUGGUCUUAAAUGGUGAUCCAAGGGGACCCACUCCCCUGAUUUUGUCCCCGAGCCCUCUUCUCUCUUUCUUCCUCUCCUCUUCCCUUUCCCCUUUCCCGUAUACUUCUAUUCCUCUCUUCUCUAUGAUCACACUCACACCCAGCUGCACUCCCUGCUCGAGGAAGACGCAAUCACCAUCUAAACCACGUCCCUUUCCUCUUCCUCUUGCCUCUGUGCAACUCGGCGAAACCAAGAAAAUAACCUCCGGCAAGUCCGACGGCUUUCGAAGCCAUUUCCUGCCAAACCACGGCGCGUUGGCCGGCGUGCAAGGUAUCAAUCUCUUCGUCCCGUCAAGUACUAUAACUUUUCUUUUUGUUUCACUCAAUUUAAUUGAGUAUUGAAGAAGUUAUACUCAUUUGAAUCUUACCCAGUUUCCGGCGACCUCCGAGGCUUUCGAGGAAAUUUCAGGCCAAACCAUGGCGAGUCAGACGUGAGGUAUCAUUCUCUUCGUCUCUUCCAGGACUACAACUUUCGUUUUUGUCUCGCUUGAUUUCGUUGAGUAGUGACAAAGUUAUGGCUGUUUAAAGUGGGGUGGUUUUCCGGCCGAAUUUCCGGCCUUCUUCUUCCUUGGCAACAGGCCACCCGGCCUUUCCCUCUCCCUCGGACCUUAGGCCCGUGUUGUCUUAAGCCCAAAACCCUAGCCUUUAGUUUUAAGUUUUAUUAUUUGGUUUUAAAACCCUAAAAAGGGCCUUGGGCCGGUGGUUUUUAAAAAGGGCUUAAAGCCCUGUUUUUCUUUAUUUAUUUUUAUUAAGGCCUUAAGGCCUUGUGAUUUUGUGCCCGUGGGUGUGUGUGUUAGGUGUGUAUGUGUUUAUGCAUGCACAUGCAUGCCGUGUGUGUGUGUGUAUUUGUAGUAUGUGUGUGUUUGGGCUAAAGCCCAAACCCCAAUUCUCACCCUAAAACCAUUUUAACCCAAAAUCCUAGGUUCCUAAAAUCCUUUAAAACCCUAAACCCAUCCAAUCCCAAAUCCCCUAUUUUAUUUAAACCUAAACCCUAAUCCGGAUUUCAAGCCUAAAACCCAUUUGACCGUUGACCCCCGGUCAACGUUGAUUUUAGGGUUGACUUUUCGGGUUUUCGUCCGGGACCCUUCUUAGGGUAAUUCGACGUUCUAAAUCCGUUUCCAAUGUCCAUUUUCCCAAAUUCAAUUGUUAUUAUAUAGUUUUAUUUAUUGGACUCUUUAUGUGCUUAGGGGCAAUUAUUGUGACGUUUCCAUCUUCGCUAGUGGCACAGCUUUUGGCAACUAAGUAUUGUGAGUGGACCCCUUCUAGAAUUACAUGAUUUGAUAAUUUAAUUGCAUAAAUGAUUAGCAUGCCUACGAAUUUAUGAUUUGAUUUAUGUGAAGCCUGAUGAUUUAAUAUAUUGAUUAUCGUCUCGGGUUUUGGUGAGGAAUUAUUUGUUAGCCUAUAUUGAGCUAUAUUUUAAUAUAUCGUAUUUUCUAUUAAAACCAUGAACUGGUAGACUAUCUGAUAGAUGACGAUAGGAUGCUAGAACAUGUUUUUGAACCCCUCUUUAUAGUGUAGACGAUGAUCGGUAACCUAUGCUAUGAAGUGGUUUUUUUUAGAGAGACGUAACUAUUUGUGCGUACCUAGUAGACACUAUGCCGCCUGGGGCAAGGAACUGGUGUUGGCAUUUAGGCCGGGAGAAAUAAUCCCUAGCGAAAGGCUGAGGGACACGGAGACAGGCAGUGGGCCAAGAGGGAGUUAUCUCUGGCUACGGGCACAGAGACUGAGGUGCAAGCAUUGGGCCGGGAGUUAUAUUUAUUCAGUGAUCUUUCUAGCAGCACACUGCGUUUACGAGACGAUUUAUGAUGCGUUUACUGUUUUGAUUUCCGCGAUGUUUUUCCGCGUUAUGGCGUUUGAGAUAUUUUUGGCAUACUAGGAUUUUUAUUAAAUCCAUCACUUAUUAUGCUAGUAGUUUUCAUUUAUAUAAACUUUGGGGGUUAGUAUGUUGAUAAUUGUUUUAUUAUUAUUGUAUAUAUAAACUUGGUCCACUCACCUUUGUUUUGCGCCCCCAUUCAGGACUUAGAAUCAAGGCACCUAAUCCCGGCGUGAAGACACUUUCGCAGCAGCAUCUUCGGAUCCUCUCGAUGUAGGACUCACUCCUUUACUCAUUAAAUUUUAUCUUAAUUCUUUUUAGUGAUUAGAUUUAGUUGUAUGCUCUGAGCACGUUCCUAAAACUUUUAACUCUUAGUUUUUAAAUUCAUAACACUUACUUAUUUCUUAUUCUUAGCUUUUGUAUCAAUUAAUGGCUUUCGUCACCCUCGGGUGUCGGCCAGCAUGUGUCUUCCUGGUAUUCGGGGAAUAUCAGGGUCGGGGCGUGUCACAAUAUUUACGGAUUAAUUACAAAAUUUUGCUAAUACCUAUUGCAGAUUUCGAACUGUAGAAUUUUUUUUAUAAAUUUUUUCUUUAAUUUCAACUAAAUCUGAAUGAGUACUUACCCCAUUGUAAAUUUCCAUCGAAGACUUUCCAACUAUAUCGAUAUUUUAAACACUGGUUUAGACCAACAUGUUUAAUAUCCAGUGCAUGCAAAUAGAAUGUCAAAUCUUUUUGAAAAACUUCAGUAUGACUGCCACUUAAGGGCAACUAGCAUAUUAAAGAGACCAAUGCAAAGUUGGAUGAGACUAAAAUACAUAAAGUCUCAUGUUUUGGUGAGAUGUGGUUUACAAAUGAUAUAGCAUGUGCCCUACGAAAAACGAGAUCGGAUUACCUAAUUGAAGUUUCUCUAGCAUGAAAAAUUCAAGAGGGAUGUGACGGUUCCGGAAAGUAAAAAAUCACACAUUUUUAUUAAUAAUUUUUUUGUUCGAAUUCGGAAAUGUAUAGAACUGAACAAAUGGAAUAGUGGCUCAGUGAUACCAACAAUUUCAUGUUGCAAAUUACAAAAAAAAAAAAAAAAAAAAAAAAAAAAGGAAAUGUUUUACACAAAAUUAAUGACAAUUAGAGUUAAACAACAGAAACUUGCACUUUAAAUGGUUUUUUUCUGCUGCUUUUGGUAUGUAUAUGCUUUUUCCGCACCGCUGGCUACUGUAUUCUCGGUAAUUUUCAUCGUCAUCCCAGCUGCGUUGCGAGCAUGAACGUUUGAUUCCUGUCAUUGGGGUUUCACAUACUCUGUCAUCACAUGAACCUCCAUGAUCCUUCCUUUUAAACAGCUUUCGAAGUGGAUUUGACUUUGGUUUCAAUGGUUUCAGCUGUUUUGGGGCCCAAAUUCUCUGCAGAUCGGGCAUCCAUCUUGUGGAGUAAGCGAACCUCCGAGCCCUCUCUCUCCUCUCUUGAACUUCAAGUAACUUGCGAGCAUGGUCGUCCUUUUGUUUGAUCUCUUCAGCGCUCGGUCUUCCAAUAUCAGUUUUCAGCGGACGAAGAGACUCACCUACUGCUGGUAAUGAAUCCCAGAUUCUAUAACUUCCAUCCACUUCGACACUCUUCGGUUUUUCUUUACAGGAUCGAUUGCUAUCCUAACUGUUGAGUAAACUAUUAGGGAGUUCUUCCUCAUCAGCAAACAGCAACAAAUCCAUUUUCUUAUAGAUUUUGCGAACCACAUCUUCAAGUGUCUCACAGUACCUGAAAAAUUCCAAAUUCAAAGAUUAAUCUAUCUGCUUAAGUUAAUUUUCCAUCUCAAACAAAAAUUGAUUGCCCGCACAUGUACUUCCGGAAAACUAAUUCCAGGAACGGAUUAUUUAAGCAACAUCGUUUCUUCAAGGAUCAUACUGUAGACAUACACUAUUGGCACAUUGCAAAAGUUGUAUAAACAUAUUCCACACUCGUUCAGAAAAACAUGGGUACGAUGUGCGCAUAACUGGCCUAUAUCCUGUCAAUCUACACUGAUAAGGAAAGACACUUUAACUCAUCUAAGAUUAUAAAGACAACCACUUUCCUUAUUUAGCAUUGUUGCAAAGGUAAGUAGGACAUGAUUUGUUAGAUAGGUAGUAAUAUCCCACAUGAAAGUGGAACACAGUGGCACCGGAAAUGUGUAUUUGUUGAGACAUGAACGAUAGACUGAAUGCAGCGUGUGCUAUAUAGCCUUUCAGCGAAAGCCAUAAUGCCUCAGUAAAACAUCCAUUAUAUAAAGUAAAGAAUAAUUUCAAGGGUAGGGGUUUUCAACUGUGGUACAGAUUUAUUACCUGCUUUUUAUGAUCUUUUCAACAUAAUCAUACACUCCAGUCACCAAAGAAGCCCUCCAGAUGACAUCGAAUUUUCUCCAAAAAGGAGCAAAUCUGUUUUACAGACUUCUGUUUUGUAGAUUCAGCAAUACGUGCACCAACCUCUGAUUGUAGUAUCUCCAUCCGGAAAAAUAUCUGCAAUUCAUAUCGUGCACGAGCUGGCGCAAGGAGGCGGCGAAGCACGAAGCCCGGGGCGGCGAUGCCGGGUCGAGGCGAAAUGCGGGGAGGGAAUUGAGGGUUUGGGAGAGGGAAUUGAAAGUGGGGCCGGGGAGGUGGAAAGAGAGGGAGAGAGAAGUGGGGAGCUUGGAGGAGGAGAGCAGCGGAGAGAGGGAGGAGAAGAAGGGUCUGAAGGCGAAGAGAGAGGCGGAGAGAGGAGGGAAAGAGAGGAUGGUUUUGACGGCGGCGAGGAAGGCUGUGAGAAAUGGAGCUGGGUUUUGGAGGUGGAGGAGUGGGUUGAGGCCUAGGAGGAGGACGAUGCGCUGCGUUUUGCCGUAGUCGGCGAUUGGGUCGCCGGAGCUCCGUUCAGAUGCCAUCGCAUUUGCAGGAGGAGAAAGAGACGGACUUGGGUUGCAGAGAAGGGAGAUGCAAAUGUGGAAUUAAGGAACAGUAAACCGAAUACGCAGUCGUUUUAGUAGAAAAACGACGAUACGGUAGAUGCUUGAGCGGGAAACCAAAUUUUGGCUGUAAAGGAAAUGUUUUAGGCCCCGUUUGGGAUUGAGGUGAUUUUAAAAAAAGCCACUGUGAAAAAAAGCUGAGGGUCAUUUUUGUGUUUGGUAAACUGAAAAAAGGGCUUAUUUUGGAAGCUGCUGUGAAAAUAAGCUGAAAAUCAAAGGAAAAGCUGAAGCUGCUAUUUGCUGCUUUGAAAAAAAGCCAGUUUUUUCAAAGCACACAGAGCUACAAUGCUCCUUUAAUGAAAAGACACACUAUCAUCCUGAUUUUUUUUCCAAAAGCACUUUCACAAAAAAGUUUACCAAACACUCUACUGCUUUAUUUCACAGCCGCUUAUUCUCACAGCACAGCCGCUUAUUCUCACAGCAGCUUUUUUUCAAAGCACAGCAAUACCAAACCAGCCCUUAAUCUCAUGAAGGACCUGUUUGGACUGCAUCUAAAUUUGUUAAAAGCGCUUUUAGAGAACAAAAGAGCUUUUGACAUCAGUUGAAAAAAAAAAAAUAUUUAAAGUACUUCUUCACGUGAAAAAAACACAUGGUUUUUAAUGAAAAUUCCAACAUGAUUUGAAUGAAAGUGCUUUCAAAAAGUAUUAUGAAUAGAUAUGCUUUUUUAUAUGCUUCUAUGAAAAGUGCUUUUUGCAAACAAUGUCGGGCUCGUUUGUAAUUACUUUUAAAAUGGUUGAAAGUGUAUUUCGUAAAAAUAUUUUUAGAAACAAUAUUUAGUAAAAUGCAAGUGAAUCCUAAAAAAAACACUUCAAGAAUAGAACAACCAAAGGGGCGAAAACUGUAAACCUCAUAGCAACCGAAUUACAAUUCGAGAACAUACCCGUUACUGAAUCCCAAAUCGCUGGUUCCCAAGUGUAGUCAUGCACAAGCUCGUUUAGAACCAAUAUUUUCUCUAAGAACGAUUUCAAUCAUUUGAAAAACAUUUUUAAACGAACUGAUGUUUUUAGGAGAAACACAAUGAGGAGCAAAUGAUUCCUAGGCGAGAAGAAAAACUAGACAGAAUGUUAAAUAGCACAUUAUGUACCAAUUUUUCUUCAACAAAUUGGAACUACUGAGAAGUUUGGAAACUAAAAAGUAAAGAUUGAUUCUAAGGAUUCUAACCCUGAUGAUUGCUUAUACAGUCGAACUACUUGAAUAGACUGGACUACCGAAGAUAAACUCAUACAUAUACGAAUUAUUAAAAAGUGAAAGAGGCUCAUCUCAGUUUUUUUUUUUUUUUUUAGUUGAAAGAAAAAAAAGGUAAAACAUGGAGAAGAUCAUGAACAGUAAUGGGUUUUAGUAUAUAUAAAUAUAAUUUGUAACUGUAUCUGUCCAAAUAUGCCGUGCAAGUUCUAUUCAUUAGCAGGUACUUUGAUUGCCAUGCAGUAAGAGCAUACAACGGAGAUUGGCUUUGUAUCAAGGCGUACGUCCCAUACACCUCUUUUAUGGGUGAUGCUGUCCACACACUUCUUUUAAUUACCAGUCGUCAUAUAGAAUGAAUUCAAGAGGAUCAAAUGACUAAAAUUAACAGAGAAUAUGUAAAAGAUAAACCAGAGUGUAUGGAUAACACCACCCUAUCUUAUUAGGAUAAUAACAUCCGAUGUGUUUGAUAUAAUCUUUUAGGGACUAACCAAAACAUUGAGUUACAAAAGUCAAACACUUCCGAUGAUGGAAGAACUAUAUCCACUUCUAUCGUCACAAAACUUGGACAAUAACAUCACACCACCAUACUUUGACGACUUCUUUAUCACCGGCAGAAUUUCCGAAUUCAACAAAGCAGCCGGAACAUACCCACUCUUGGCCGCCUUAGGAGCCGCCAGCAACCCCAAAAACAUCUUCCCUGUCUAAUACAAUGAUGUCACUUGGCGUCUUAACAAGAUGGGAGACUUUGGAGGGACUUUAUUGAGUACUCCAGAGUACUCAGUACUCUCAUUUGUUUAAAAAUAUAAAAAUCAAAAUCUAACGAUUAAAACAUCUAGAGUAUCCAUAUAUAGUACUGCUCAAAACUUUUUGAGACAUUGGACGUGAUCCCUCCUAGAAAUUAUUAAGUUAUACAGUAGUACACUUCAGCCGUGAUACUUUCAUUCAAAGGCUAGCUUUAUACUAAUAUGUGAUACUUUCAUUCCAUAUUUGAGAGCCAUUGGAUAAGUAUAAAGCUAACCUUUACAAUAUGAGCUAGUUAGUUAGCCUUCACACACACAGUGCCUGCCUAUCAUGUAACCAUUGACAAUGAUACCCGACAAUUUAUUUGGAGAGAGGGUCCUCACUCAUUUAUUUGGACCUAUAACUUCAUUUCAUAAUAACUCCAUCACAUCAUUUUAUGUACCAUAGUUUAUUCAAUUUCAAAAAUUAGUACACGCAAUAACAUGUUUUAUCGUAAAAUAUACGAGGUUUUUUAGUAUAUUAGAAAUACGAGAUGAUGCACCACAUGUCAUUAUAUAAAUGAAGAGAAAUUUUUUUUUUUUUUAAAUGUGCCUCCACUUAUAUAAUGUAUUGUACCACCCAAAUUCUGAAUAAGUGAAAGAUCUCUCCAAAAAAUACAUAUGCAUGUUUUAUUCAAAAGGUAAGGAAUGAUGCGUCAUCAUCCCUAACACACUUUAUUAUAGUAGUAGCAUCAAUUGAGGCAGAGAAGUUAAUUAGAUGCUGUCCUUAAUGGAUGCACUAUAACCGUUGUCAUAGAACCUGCUCCAAAGCAUAACUCCUCCGUACUUGGGCGAAUUCUUAAUCGUUGGAAGAACUUGUGACUUGAGAGCGUCAGCAGGAAUAAAUCCGCCGCUUGGAGCGGCCUCAGGAGCUGCCGGUAACCCCAUGAACACCUGGGUGGCCGGAACCGAGGCCCAUUGGUUCCAACUGCUUAAAAGAGCGUCGGCAUUACCGUCUGCAUACUGGCAUGGGGGGUUGUUGUAGAACUGAACCCAAACGUAGUCAAAUAAACCGGUUUGGAUAGCGGCGUCCAGGUGAGCAUCCGGGAUCGGACAUUGUGGAGCUGCGGCUAAAUAGACCGUUUUUGCCUGUGCGUUGUGUCCGUUGAGUGACCUGGCGAGCUCAUCAUAGAACUGCGCACCACCCGCCUCAAUGUCGAAAUCAACGCCGUCCAAAACCGCGUCCCCAAGCGGGCGCGAAGCGGACUGACCACCUAAGAAGUUGUUCCAGAUGUAAUCAGCAACUUGCCUUGCAUCAUCAGCUGAAGUGAGAGAGUAACUUCCGGCGCCCCCUCCAAUCGAGAGGAGGACUUUUAUGUUUUUUGAUUGGCAGGUUCUGAUGUCAGCACUCAGCCCCGUGCAAGUACCACUAGGGGGGUCGCAGUGGCCGGCGAGGUUUAGGACAGGGGUUUGGUUGUUUCCGAAAGUAGUGAGGAAAGCUAUGUUAACAAACUGGUAGUUGCCUGAGUUGCAAGCAUCUGCUAGGGUUCCUUCGUUGCCGUUUUGGCCCCAAUAGAUCGCAAUUCCGGCGGCUUGGGAGGACUUGCAUGAAGAAAUGAGGAUCAAGAGGGACAGAGUUAGGGUUAGGGUUUGUGUUUUGGAUGCCAUUUUUGUAUGUGUUUUUUUGGGUUGUUGCUCAAAGUGCUUGGGAGGGGACAUGUACUUAUAGGUGGAGACUUACUGGUUAAGGUUUAGGGGAAGAAAAAUAUGACACACGAGUUCUGCUUGUAAGAAAUGGAUGCCAGUCUUCUGCUUGUCAAUCAAGUUAGCUAGGGCCUGUUUGGUCGAAGUUUCACAUGAAACGUCGAUUAAGUUAGGUCGGGUUGGAAAUGCUUUCUUCAAAAACCACUUACACACGUAAGCUCUUCUUAUAUUUUUCAUAAUAAUGCAAGUGCUUUUGGAAAAAACACGAGAGGUGUUUCGCAUGUGUUUUUUUCAAAAAGCACUUCAAAUAUUUUUUCUACCUAAAAAUCCAUUAAAGCUCCUUUACUUGUUUUAAAGAAACUUCCAAAAUAAUAUUUAAAGAAAAAUUACUUCUAGAGAGAAUUAUAACAUGCUAAUUGAGAGAUCCCGAAACUAGAAACUAGAUGGUUAUAGUGAAGCGUGACCUUAACUGCUUAAUUAGGUGAAAAAAGCCAUCAAAUUUGACAAAAAGUCUGAUGAAAGGUCAUAGCUGUAUGCAUAAUCCGUAGAUGAGAUAAUCAUGAAACAAUACGUGGGGAAUCAACACAGCCUUAUCAUCGUCAAAAAAUUUUAGUGUUCUAGAAACACGAUCUGAUAUACAAAAUGUUUUAACAUCAAUUGAACGUUUUGGAAAUUUGUGGAUAGAAACCAAAUGGAAUAUGCUUGCUAGCUGCUAUAUACAUCUUGGAUUUUAGCUGAGGUGGCCAUUGGCCAAGGACUGCGAUCUAAUCACGAUGCUUUAAUUUCGCAGUACGAAAAAAAUUUCAGAUAAAAUUUAGAACAUGUUUAGGGAGUGCUUUCAAAUCACUGAAAGCGAUUUUAGAAAGAAAAAAAAUGUUUAUACAACUAAUUUUUAAUAAAAAUGCAAGUUAAUUCUCUAAAAGUAUUGAAAUUAGUGCUUCUUUGAUGAAUUACUUUAAGUGCUUUUGGAGCUCAAAAAUAUUUUCUCAAGUGGUUUCAGUUAUUUAAAAACACUUUCUAAACGAGUUAAUGACUCGUGUAUGGCAACAUUUAGCAAGUAAUAGCUCUCAUGAAUUGGAUUGUGGUGAUGUGAAAAUGGGUUUGGGUAAGUUUAGUUUAGAUCAGUCACCAGUGUAUAAAAUAUCCAUGAAAUUGUCGAUAUUUUCAUCAAAAUAUCCUUAAAAUUUAGGGUCCAUAAGGAAAAGAAGGGUAAAAUAUAAAUUUCAACCUAUAUUGGCGAGAUAUAAGAAAACAAUGAAUAUCGACAAUAUUUACCAAUUAACUACAAAAUGUUGCUAAAACCUAUUGCAGAUUUUGAACUUUAGAAUUUUUUUUUUAUAAAUUUUUUCUUUAAUUUCGACUAAAUCUGAAUGAGUUGAUACUUGAUAUGCUUAUCCCAUUGUAAAUUUCCAUCAAAGACUUUCCAACUAAAUCGAUAUUUUAAACAUUGGUUUAGACCCACAUGUUUAAUAUCCAGUGCAUGCAAAUAGAAUGUCAAAUCUUUCAGAAAAACUUCAGUAGGACUGCCACUUAAGGGCAACUAGCAUAUUAAAGAGACCAAUGCAAGGUUGGAUGAGACUAAAAUACAUAAGAGCAAUUCCACCGGGGACCAAAUGUCCCAGCCUCCAGUCCAAAAACCAAGCCAGGCCUCUGUCAAUCAAGUCCACCCCAACAAACUGACUGGUACCCAGCCCGAGUUGGGCAAGAGCCCAGCCCAAAAGAGACUGAGACAGAAGCCGGGGAAGAAGCCUGGCGCGUGCACUUCACGUAGCCGUUUGGCGAGUGCCCGACAAGCUUUCAGACGCCGGGGCCCGCGUGCAGGCGCUGUCAGUCCCCCCCCCGAGUUGCGACGUGGCUACCUCUCUGCCGUUGGAUUUCCAACGGCUAGUUUUCUAGACCGUUGGAUUUCCAACGGUAAAAAAAUUUUAAAUUUUACUUUUAAACUAGACCGUCGGAUCAAAGAUCAACGGUCCACGUUUUUUUCACAAAAAGUAAAUUAAAAAAAAAAAAAAAGGGCCCAACGGUCAGAAAUAUGACCGUUGGCCACGUGGCAACUCCCUAGCUCUUGGAUUUGAAUAUUUUUCAAAUCCAACGGUCCAGAUUAAUUAACUAUAUUAAAAUUCAUUAAAAAUUAUUAAAAAAUACAGAAAAAUUAUUAAAAAAUACAGAAAAUUUUAAAAAAAUUACAGAAAAUUUUGAAAAAUGUUAAUUUUUUUUCCUAUAAAUACCUAACCCUCAUCUUCUACCUUUACACCACAUUCCAAUAUUUUCUACACUUUCUAUACUAUCUACAUUUCAAAAUAUUUUCUACACUUUAAGAGAAAAAAAAUGUCUUCGUGGAAGCUCAUUGAAGAUGUUACGUUGUGUGAAUGUUGGGUUCACACUACUCAUGAUCCGAUUACGGGUAAUGAGAUGGAUAAGCGAGAGAUGUGGAGUAAAAUUACGAAAGCGUUUUGUGAUGUACAUGGAGAAAACGCCAGAACUAGUCAAGGUCUUCAAGGUCGUUGGAAAAAACUCAAUGCAUCAUUUACUUGUUGGAAAAACGCCAUCUCUCAUGCUUCCGGUAACCUCCGUAGUGGGACAAGUUUAGCGGAUCAGGUGACAAUAUUUUUUAUUUAUUUAUAUGCAUUCCACUCACAUUAAUAUUUUGAUUUAUUUAAUUUCGUAUGUAAUUUUUAUCUUAUUUCUUAUGUAAUUUUUAUUUAAUUUCUUAUGUAAUUUUUAUUUAAUUUCUUAUGUCAUUUUUAUGUAAUUUAUAUGCAUUCCACCCGUAUUAAUAUUUUGAAUUUAUUUAUUUGUGUUACACCCGCAUUUUUUAACACUAUGUUAUCCCACUUUUUUAUAGACACUACAAGCUCAAGCAUUCUACAAUUCAAAGAACGGGAACAAAUCAUUCAAUAGAUUGGAAUGUUGGCAAAUUGUCAAAGAUUGCCCUAAAUACAAAAUUGUGGCAACUGGUCCAGAAGUUGUCAUGCACGGUAUGGGUCUACAUAGUUCUCCAGAACCAGACAUGGCCGAACAAGAAGCCGACACAUUUCAAGACACGGAAGGGACGGCUGAACAAGUGCCCGAGACCCAACCGACUCGUCAGUCCCUAAGGCCUCUAGGUAAAAAGGCGUCAAAGAAAAAAGGUAGUUCUUCCAAAAAAUGACUACACUAAAUAUAUGGAGGAACUUGCUCGCCAAGGUGAACUAAACUUGGCACGAGAAAAGGCUAGAGAUGAGGAAAAAGUUGCUGCUAUGGCAGCAAUAUUAGCAGCUACUGAGGCCCGUGAUGCGGCGGCUGAAAGACAAAGAGAAGUAGUUAAUCGAGAGAACGAGCUGGUUAGAGAAGCACUUCAUCGAGAAAAUGAAUUGCUUCGAGAAGAAAGGAUGGCUCAAGCAUCGUGAUCGUGACACUAUGAGCAAGUCUCUAGUAGGACUGUCUCCGAAUUCUAAAUAUUUUUUAGACAUCGGAAAAAGAGAUGCCAUGCGUAGGAGGCGUGCAAGAGAUGCGGAAACAAGUCAAGGGGGUUCUAGCUACACAAAUCAUGGCAACCAAGAUCCUAGCACCACAUAUCCUAACUCGAGAGACUUUAUUUAAUUUCUUAUGUAUUUUUAUGUAUUUUCUUUCUUUUUUCUAGUAGAACUUUAUUUAAUUUCUUAUGUUUUUUCUUUUUUUUAGGUUUGAACUUUAUUUAUUUUCUUAUGCAAUUUUAAUGUAAUUAUUUAUUUAAUUUCUUUUGUACUUUAUUUAAAACACAUGAAAUAAGAUUACACAUAAACUCACCAAAUAAAUUUAAAAACAAAACACAUUACAUAGAAUUACAUAAACUCACCAAAUAAACUUAAAAACAAAACACACUACAUAGAAUUACAUAAACUCACCAAAUAAACUUAAAAACAAAACACACUACAUAGAAUUACUUAAACUUAAAAAAAAAUACAAUUUAUUCUUCAACCACAAGCCUCAUUCUAAUUAUCUUCGCCUCCAUGCAAUCCCCACUGGUGCUCAAUCAAGUCAUUCUGGCGGGUUACGUGCCAGUAUGGCUCUUGCACAUUAGUGUACCGCUGAACGAUCAAUUCAUUGUAACGUCCAUCACGUUCCAACGGCUCGUGUUGCACUGGAUCUUCGGUCCCAUCAUGAGCACAAUAAAUACGUGUUCUUGAGUUGUUCAUCGGAUCUGGCUCAUAUUCAUCGACGGCAUCAUAAUCAUACUCAUCUUCAACAAUCAUGUUAUGGAGAAUAAUACACGUCAUCAUGAUGGAUCGAAGAGCCUCGACAUCAAACAUUCUAGCUGCAGCCCUGACAAUCGCCCAACGAGCUUGCAGGAUACCAAAACAACGCUCGACAUCCUUCCUACACCCUUCUUGACAUUUUGCAAAGUGUUUUUCCUUUUCAGUCUGUGGAUGUGGCACUGUUUUGACAAAUGUUGACCACCUUGGGUAAAUGCCAUCUGCAAGGUAGUAUGAUCCCUCGUAUUGGGUACCAUUAACCCAAUAUGUGCAUCUCGGCGAGUUUCCUUGCAGCAGUUCGUCGAACACUGGGGAUUGGGCAAGGACAUUUAGGUCAUUUUGAGCUCCUGGAACACCAAAAAAAGCAUGCCAAAUCCAUGUAUCAAAUGAAGCCACCGCUUCCAAAAUGAUGCUUUUGGCUCCUUUUCUGUCGCCAUAUGCUCCUUGCCACGCACUUGGACAGUUUUUUCCAAGUCCAGUGCAUGCAGUCGAUGCUUCCAAUCAUGCCAGGGAAGCCUCGCAUCUCACCCUUCCUCAGAAGCCUUCGCAUGUCCCUUGACGUGGGUGUCCGGAGGUACUCUUUGGUGUAGAGGGCUUCAAUUGCAGAGCAAAACCGCAUCAGGGACUCCAGAACAGUUGUUUUUCCCAUCCUCGCGAUCUCAUCCACUUGAUCUGCAGAUGCUCCAUAUGCAAGCAUUCGCAAGGAUGCCGUAAUUUUUUGCUCGGGAAUAAGACCUAGAACAUGAAAAGCAUCCUCUUUUUGCACAAAGUAUGAAUCAUUGUUGCAAAUAUCACUCAUGAUUUUGUUGAACAAAUGUCGUUGCAUUCUAAAACGCCGUCUAAACAUGAUCAGGGAAUAUGCUAUUGGGAAUAAAAUAGUCUUCCAAUAGAUUUUUACCUCGUUUUUCCCUUUUUCUAUCGAGGUUUGCAACACGUCUUGGUUUGGCUAUCUGACCCACGGCUUCCAUGACACGGCGGGAAUGUGAGGCCUUCUGCCUUCUAUGGUGAUCAUCCUCAUCCUCCUCCAUGAAGAAAGCCUCAUCUCCACCUCCACCUUCCUCGAGAUUGGCCAAUUCUGCCUGUUGUGCCAACAACCUUUGUUGUUGCUCUUGCAACUGCUUAUACACCCUUCUUGAAGAAGACAUUGUAAUAAGAACUCAAGAUUUGAAAAUGAUGAACAAGGAUUCUGAGCUAAAAAGAAGGAUUGAGCUUGGUGUGAGGAUGGAUGUAGGGAUGUAGGGUUUAUAUGGACAAAAAAAGAAAGGAUGAGGUUCUGGACAAUGCCACGUGGCACUACGUGAUUGGUUGAAAAUCUUAUCGAAAUCUUGGCUAAAUUAUUGUAAACCGGAAGUGACACGUGGCGUGUCAGGAUUGGUCGAGAAUAUUAUCGAAAAUCUAUCCACAAAAUAGUACGUUCGGAUAAUGACACGUGGCAUGACGUGAUUGGUUGAAAAUCUUAUCGAAAUCUUGGCUAAAUUAUUGUACCAUGGAAGUGACACGUGGCGUGUCGGGAUUGGUUGAAAAUAAUAUCGGAAAUCUAUUCACAAAAUAGUACGUUCAGAUAAUGACACGUGGCGUGACGAGAUUGGUUAAAAAUCCUAUCCGAAAUUAAAACUAUUUUAUUUUUUUAUUCUUUAUUUUAAAUGGGUUAAAAAUCUUAUCCGAAAUAAACUUAAAAAAAAAACACACCAAAUAAAUGCGCUGGGUGCUAGCGCAUUUUUUUAGGGGUGGAGAUGCCUUGGCCUAUUACUGUUCACUCCAGUCUAUUACUGUUCAUUUGAGUGGAUAAAUGCGCUGGGUGCUGGCGCAAAGUCCACAGGGGUGGAAUUGCUCUAAAGUCUCGUGUUUUGAUGAGAUGUGGUCUACAAAUGAUAUAGCAUGUGCCCUACGAAAAAUGAGAUCGGAUUACCUAUUUGAAGCUUCUCUAGUAUGAAAAAUUCAAGAGGGAUGUGACGGGUCCGGAAAAUAAAAAAUCACACAUUUUUAUUAAUAAUUUUUUUGUUCGAAUUCGGAAAUGUAUAGAACUGAACAAAUGGAAUAGUAGCUCAGUGAUACCAACAAUUUCAUGUUGCAAAUCACAAAACAAAAAAAAAGGAACUGUUUUACACAAAAUUAAUGACAAUUAGAGUUGAACAACAGAAGCUUGCACUUUAAACGGUUUUUUUCUGCUGCUUUUGGUAUGUAUAUGCUUUUUCCAUGUCUCGAUGUAGUGCCAGUUCACAGGUCAUCAUCCUGGAACAAUGCUUUCGAAACAGAGCCGCACGGCUGGCUACUGUAUUCUCGGUAAUCUUCAUCGUCAUCCCAGCUGCGUUGCGAGCAUGAACGUUUGAUUCCUGUCAUUGGGGUUUCACAUACUCUGUCAUCACAUGAACCUCUAUGAUCCUUCCUUUUAAACAGCUUUCGAAGCGGAUUUAACUUUGGUUUCAAUGGUUUCAGCUGUUUUGGGGCCCAAACUCUCUGCAGAUCGGGCAUCCAUCUUGUGGAUGAAGCGAAUCUCCAAGCCCUCUCUCUCCUCUCUUGAGCUUCAAGUAACUUGCGAGCAUGGUCGUCGUUUUGUUUGAUCUCUUCAGCGCUCGGUCUUCCAAUAUCAGUUUUCAGCGGACGAAGAGACUCACCUUCUGCUGAUAAUGAGUCCCAGAUUCUAUAACUUUCAUCCACUUCGACACUCUUUGGUUUUUCUUUACAGGAUUGAUUGCUAUCCUCACUGUUGAGUAAACUAAUAGGGAGUUCUUCCUCAUCGGCAAACAGUAGCAAAUCCAUUUUUGUAUAGAUUUUGUGAACCACAUCUUCAAGUGUCUCACAGUACCUGAAAAUGUCCAAAUUCAAAGAUUAAUCUACCUGCUUAAUUCUCCAUCUCAAACAAAAAUUGAUCACCUGCAUUUGUACAUCAGGAAACUAAAUGCAGGAAUGAAUUAUUUAAGCUCCAUCAUUUCAAGGAUCAUACCGUAGGCUAAUAUGCUAUUGCAGAAGUUGUAUAAACAUAUUCCUCACUCGUUCAGAAAAACAUGCCUACGAUGUGCGGAUAACUGGCUUAUACCCUGUAAAUCUACACUAAUAAGGAAACACACUUAACUCAUCUAAGAUUAUAAAGAUAAUCACUUUCCUUUUUUAGCAUUAUUGCAAAGGUAAGUAGGAGAGCAUUGGAUGGGCAGUAAUAUCCCACAGGAAAGUGGAAACAGUGGCACCGGAAAUGUGUAUUUGAUGAGACAUGAACGGUAGACUGAAUGAGUGUCGAGAAAGCCAUAACGACUCGGUAAAACAUCCAUUAUAUAAAGUAAAGAAUAAUGCGAAAGGCAGGGGUUUUCAACUCUGGUACAGAUUUAUUACCUGCUUUUUAUGAUCCUUUCAACAUAAUCAUCUACACUCCAGUCACCAAAGAAGCCCUCCAGAUGACAUCGAAUUUUCUCCAAAAACGAGCAAAUCUGUUUUACAAACUUCUGUUUCAUAGAUUCUGCAAUACUUGCACCAACCUCUGAUUGUAGUAUCUCCAUACGGAAAAAUAUCUGCAAUUCAUAUCUAGUACUAGGUGAAGGAAAAGUGUAAAUGUAAUUGGAGACAAAUUUUCAUAUUGGUAGAGUUAUAACUGGAUUAAUGCAUAAUACAGAAGACAGUUCAGUUAUAAAUGAGAAAGGAUACUCUCGAACUAUUUUUCCAGAAGUCAGUCCUUCAGAUUCUGAAUCGGAUGCUUUAACAAACGGGCCGGAGCUUUUCUGCCUUGCAGUGAUAUCCUUGGGAUCUCUCAGUAGAAGUUUUAACACCUCAGCAGAAACCAAAUCAUCAGUAGCACCAGAUUUUACAAGGGAAGUUUGACUCUCUGAAAGGGCUUCUGUUUCCUGCUUUUUAUUUAACCAAUAUAUGGAUGAAUUCACAAGCCGAUAUGCCAAUGCCCCCAAGUCUACUGCUUCAUAUUCAAGCCCCUGUUGUAUCUUGUUGGAUAGACUACUGAAAAAAUCUUCCGACGUUUCUGAUCUAAAUUCCAAAGCAGCUUCAUCUUGUAUGCCAGAAGCCACAGUCAAAGAAUUUUCUCCAAUGGAAGGAGAUGAAGAAAUUGGCUGUUCACUUUCAUGGUGCAAGUUAUCCAACCUAUUGUCCAUCCCUUUUCUAUUGAGCUGGUCUGCCUGGGAUUCUUUCUCCACUAUUAGACCACGAUCGCUAGACUUCUUAAUUUGUUUCAUCCAGCAUUUCAGAAAUCGUAUCUUUUUUGAGUUAUAACAUUCCCUGGCAAAGUAAACCUCUUCCAAACCUAUCUCUGAGUGUUCAAAUGCUGCCUUGUAGAAGGCACUCCAUGUGAGAUCUUGUAGCAACUGUGAAUUUCUUUUGUUAUUUCUCUUCCUUCCCUCCUUGCCUGCAGAAUGCUUAUUGGAUGGCCCAGUUUGGUCCAAAUCAGCAUUCGGUUCGCAAAUCCCAUUCUUCAUAUUUCGACUUGAUUGGUCUGCUUUUGCUCCACCAAUAUCAUGCACUUUUGUCUGAGGGUGAAAUCCUUCAUCCACAAUAAACAGCCGAGCCGAAGAAACUGUGAAAGGUUUGAGAAUUCCGGUAGACGAUACACCACUGUCACUUGAAAGAGACACUAAUGCUCCAUGACCAUUCCUAUAUAAGAAACUCAAGAGAAUCUGCCAAAUGGGUGCUGACUUUCUCUUUGCAUUCUCACCCAAGUCCACUGCUACCACUUCUAGAACCUUAUCUGCAUAAUAAUUGCCAGAACUUUCUUUUCCAUCUUCACCAGGUUUUCCCAAAACAUCACAGACAAGGACUGGAUCAGAUAAGUGCCCCUUGAAUUUCAGAAACUCAUUGUACUUUUGCAAAGCCUUAACCUGGAACUUUGUCACGCCUUUGACAAAAUACCCCCAGAACAAUUCCUUCAGUUUACCACCCUUUGUUUGUGAAUUCAUGAUUUCUAGGGAAAAGAAAGCAUCAUCAGCUGCAUUUCUAGGCAACUUCUUCAAAUCAACCAAUUGAAGAUCACAAACCUUGCAUUCCAAAGGCUUCCCACUUACAUCUAAGAUCUCGAGACUCAACUGCGCAUUGACUUUCUUAUGACUAUCAUCACAACCGAAAAACUUGGAUGAAAUCCCUAUCUCGGGAUAAAUCAAACCAAAGGAAACAAGAGCAGAGCCAAGAAUAAUCCAACCAGUCGAGCAAAAUCCCCAUCCCAAACUCCUAACCCCACUCUCGAAAAACCCAAAUCUCGUCUUAUCCUCAUCGUUCCCAACCUUACCCUCACCACAUUCUAAUUCAUACCUGACAUCAACCCAGCUACACUGAAUAUCUCUACUCACAAAUGCUUCAUUCACAUUCUCAAAGAAACCCCUAAAUCUCUCGGAAAACGCUUUCACAUUUUCCAAAGACUCGUCACCCACACCCACUGUUAGGUCACAACUUCUAAAUUCCCUUUCUCGACCUGCUAGUAGCUGAUAGUAAUGGCGGUGAGUGAGUGGGAAGGAAGAUAGAGAGAGAUAGAAAGUUUCUUGUAAUAUUGUUUUUCUAAUUCAAUCCUGCAGAACAAUGCCACAAUUUGGUUCUUAUACAACCAUCCUUCUCACAAUGCCAGCUGGCUACUAACAAUAACGACAUGUAGCUAAAUAGUUUUCCACUAUUAUUCUAACCACUAUUAUAAUCAUAACACUACCCCUCCCUUACAAAAUAAACCUUGUCCUCAAGGUUAGAAUUAAAGACUGAAAUCAGGAAAUCUGGCAGCAAACUCGUCAUAAUCCUCCCAUGUAGUUUCGUCCUCUUUGUUGUUCUUCCACUGGAUUAACAACUGAACUCCAGCAGCUUGGCCCUUCUUGUAGACCCUCAUUUGUAGCACCUUGAGUGGUUCGAGUGGUAGCAACCCAUCAUCAGUGACAGUAGGCAAGAAUGGAGUUAUGUGACCUUGUCUCCCAAGUGCUUCUUCAAGCAACUAACAUGAAAGACUGGAUGAAUUUUUGAAUUCUCAGGCAGUUUCAAUCGGUAGGCAACCUUCCCAAUAUUUUCCAAAACCUCAUAAGGACCAUAGUACCGGGGAUGAAGCUUAUGGUAAGCAUGAGAUGACAAAGAUUGCAAUUGAUAGGGAAUUAAUUUCAAAUACACCAAAUCUCCUUCCUCGAAAACCCUCUCACUCCGAUGCUUAUCUGCUUGUGUUUUCAUCCGGUUCUGAGCUACUAGUAAAUUGGUCCUGAGCAUUGCUAAUAUUUUGUCCCUAGUUAGCAGCCCUUGCUCCACUAUAUCCAACUUAGCAGUGCCAAGCUCAUAAGACGCGAUGUGUGGUGGUGGAUAACCAUAGACCACUUCGAAGGGGGUGAACUUUGAGGAAGUGUGGUAGGAAGUGUUAUAGCUCCAUUCUGCCCAUGGAAGCCAGUGGAGCCACUUCUUAGGUUGACAGCUAGUGAAGCAUCGCAAGUAAGUUUCAAGGCACCGAUUCACCACCUCUGUCUGGCCAUCACUCUGUGGAUGGUAACCCGAGCUCAUACACAACUUGGAGCCUUGCAACUUAAAAAAAUUCUUUCCAAAAAACACUCAUGAAAAUGGUGUCCCUGUCACUCACAAUGGUAGAGGGCAUCCCAUGGAGUUUAAACACAUUAUCAACAUAUUCCUGAGCUACCAUGCUUGCCGUAUACGGAUGUGCUAAGGGGAUGAAAUGAGCAUACUUGGACAGCCUGUCUACGAUUACCAGGAUCACUGAUUUGCCUUUGCACAGAGGUAAACCAGUGAUGAAAUCCAUGCUUAUAUCCUUCCAUACAUGUGUAGGGAUCGGCAGAGGUUGAAGUAAUCCGGGAGGGGAAAUGGUUUCAUACUUAUUUUGCUGGCAUUCCCGACAUUCAGCCACCCAUGACCUGAGAUCUUUCUUCAUUCCUACCCAAUAGAAGCCCCUCUUCAAUAUCUGAUAAGUCUUUAGAACCCCUUUCAUGGCCUGCACUUGGAGAAGAGUGAUGUUCCUCAAAGACCUUCCUUUUCCAACUUGAAUCUGGGCUAAGCACGAUCCGUCCUUUGUAUUUGAGGAAACCGUUGUCUAAAUGGUACUUGGACAGAUUGGGGUCAAUUGCAGCAGCUUAAGAAUAUGCUAACACCUUCUGCACCUUGCUUUGAAUCCAACUAUCUUGUUCUAACCCUCUCCGAAGUUCAUCUAGCCACCCGAAGUAGGGGUAUGUGAUAGCUUUGCACUCCAAUAAGUCACUGAGAGGUUUCUCUUGUAAUUGAGACGAACCAACUACUCGAGAUAAGGCAUCAGCCAUUAUGUUGUCAUUGCCUUGCCUAUAUUGUAUCUCAUAAUCAAAUCCCAACAACUUGGCCACCCAUUUCUGUUGGAACGGGGUAGUAGUUCUUUGACUCAGAAAGUAUUUCAAGCUGCUAUGAUCUGUCUUUAUGAUGAAAUGGCGCCCUUGAAGGUAGUUUUGCCAUUUUUUGAUAGCACUAACAAUGGCAAUCAACUCUCUUUCGUAUGUAGACAAUGCUUAAUUCCGUGGUCCCAAUGCUUGACUUGUGAAAGCUAUAGGUCUGCCAUUCUGUUGCAACACAGCCCCUAUUCCAUUGCCAGAUGCAUCACAUUCCAAAGUGAAGGGAAUAGCAAAAUUGGGUAAGGCUAAUAGCUGCGGAGAAGUCAUUGUUCUUUUUAAUGCUUGGAAAGCUGCCGUGGCUUCAGGGGACCAAUUGAAACCAUCAUUUUUUGUUAGUUGAUACAAGGGUUGACACACCUUGCCAUAACCGGGGAUGAAUUUUCUAUAAUACCCUGAGAGCCCGAGAAAUCCCCUCAACUCUUUGACAUUUUUCGGUAUCGGCCAAUCUAUAAUUGCUUGAAUUUUAGUAGGAUCUGCAGCCACCCCAUCACGAGAGACGAUGUGCCCCAAGUAUUCCACCUGUGAUUGGCCAAAAGAGCAUUUCGAUUUCUUCACUGCUAAUUGGUGUUUCUGUAAUAACUCCAAAGUUUGGUGCAAGUGUGAAAGAUGGUCCUCCCAGGUCUUGCUGUACACCAAAAUGUCGUCAAAGAACACCAAGAUGAAUUUCCGGAGGUAAGGCUUAAAAAUGUCAUUCAUAAGGGCUUGGAAAGUGGCAGGAGCAUUUGUAAGACCAAAGGGCAUGACUAAGAAUUCAUAAUGCCCUUGGUGAGUUCGGAAGGCAGUCUUUUCCACAUCGGAGGGACAUACGGAUCUGAUGAUAUCCAGACCUAAGAUCAAGCUUAGAAAAAUACUGAGCGCCAUGCAAUUCAUCUAACAAAUCAUCCACUAAUGGAAUAGGAUAUUUAUCCUUAAUGGUAAUGCUGUUCAAUUCACGAUAGUCCAUGCAAAGCCUCCAAGUGCCCUCCUUCUUCUUGACCAAGAGAACUGGAAAUGAAAAGGGACUAUGACUUGGCUGGAUGAAUCCAGCAUCUAAAAGUUCUUGCACAGCUCGUUCAAUCUCAGUUUUUUGCAUAGGACCAUAAUGGUAUGGUCUAAUACUCGGAGGCUUGGAACCAGGAAGCAAUGGAAUCUGGUGAUCAUGAGCCCGUGGAGGUGGUAAGGUAGUAGGAGGCUUAAAAACCGUUUCAAAUUGCCUGAGCAUACCCUGCAGCUCAAUGAGUUGCUGGGGAUUCAAGUUGGAUGCCUCCAACGGAUUAGUUUCCAUUGAAUACAAUAAGACGCCCCAAUUAGAGUAUUUAAACUCUUUUUCAAGCUGUUGACAAACAGUAUCCUGUACCAAGUACGCUGGAGCAGUGGAAUGAACAAGUUUAUAGUGGUCUUUUCCCACAGAAAAUUCCAUGGUUAAGUUGUGAAAAUCCCACAAAACUGGACUCACAGAUGAGAGCCAUUUCACACCCAAUACAACAUCGCAACCCCCUAGAGGAAGUGCGUAGAGGUUAGUGUGGCAGCGAUAUGCACCCAAUUCCAAGGGAAUUUGUUGGCAACAGCCUUGACUUCGGACUUUACCCCCAUCGGCAAUCAUGACAUCGAAGGGUUUGGUGGUGUGACAAGGCCACCCGAGCUGCUUAAGCAACCUAGAAUCCACAAAAUUGUGGGUGCUACCAGAGUCAAGUAGUAUGGUAACAGGUAGAGUGUGAAGCACACCAGCCACUUUCAUGGUUUGUACCGUGGAGGGCUCAGUAGUGCCAUAGAACGCACAAGCACUCAACUCCAUGCUUGAUAGGGAAAGAUCAAUAGGCUCCAGUAAUUCACACUCUGUAGGUUCCAGCAAUUCACACUCGGUAGGCUCCAACUCAUUACAAACAUCAAGCAUAAGGAGCUGUUUAUUAUGGACACAUUUGUGCCCUCGAACCCACUUUUCAUUACAGAACCAACACUCGCCCUUGUCCUUCUUCCGUUGAACUUCCUCGGGGGUAAGUUUCUUAUAAGGGAGGGUUUGAGGAUGAGGCCUGGUAAGGGAAGGUAGAGGUAAGGCGAGAGGAGGUUUGAGUGGGGGAUGAGGUUUUGGGGGAGAUGGUUUCAAGUCCGUGAGUUUAGCAUUUAAUUGGGCAGCAAAGGAAAUGGCCUCAUGAACUGAGGAAGGGCGAAGCAAUUUAACAUCGUAACGCAAUUCCUUCUUGAGACCCCCCAGAAAGCAACUCUUUAAGAGAAUAGGACCAACAUCAUAGGUUCGAGUGGCAAGGCGCCGAAAUUCCACAAUAUAAUCACGAAGAGGGCCGGUUUGGCGGAGUUUGAAUAGCGACUCAGUGCAGUCCUCAAACUCCGGUGGACCAAAUUCCUGGCACAAAGCAGUCGUGAAUUCACCCCAGGUGGGAGUGGAAUGUACACAAUCGCGCCAACGAAACCAGUACAGCGGCUCAUUCUUGAAGUGGAAGGAGGCGGUCAAAACCUUCUGAUUCUCCGGAGUGUGAUAAUAAGCAAAAUAUUGUUCGGCCUUAUAGAUCCACGCUGAGGGAUCAUCACCGUCGGAGAAACGGGGAAAAUCCAGACGAUGUGACCGCUGCGGGCGAGGAGUAAAACCGCCGCCUUCAAAAGAAUCACGGCGCUGAAACCGUGGAGUGUCGAGACAACGAAAAUCGCCAUCAUCGGUCACAAUGGGAGGAGGAAUAUGUGGAUCUGGCACUAGAGGUGGUGGUGCAGUCGAAGAGCCAGCACCGCCUUGAGGACCAGGGUCGCGAUGGAGAUGCUCCAGGAGAAGGGCGAAUUUGGUUUCGAGAGCGGUGAAGCGGGUGUCGGAAUUGGCGUUGGAAGUCUGGAUCAGCUGAGGAAUGGCUCCCAUGGCUUCCAGAGUAGCUUCCACGGCGGAGAGGCGCGAUUCAACAGUGGACAUUCGAGAAUUUGUGGUGUGGCGGGGCAUACAAGAGGGAGACUCAGGAUCGAGAGGCUGAUACCAAUUGUUAGGUCAAAACUUCUAAAUUCCCUUUCUCGACCUGCUAGUAGCUGAUAGUAAUGGCGGUGAGUGAGUGGGAAGGAAAAUAGAGAGAGAUAGAAAGUUUCUUGUAAUAUUGUUUUUCUAAUUCAAUCCUGCAGAACAAUGCCACAAUUUGGUUCUUAUACAACCAUCCUUCUCACAAUGCCAGCUGGCUACUAACAAUAACGACAUGUAGCUAAAUAGUUUUCCACUAUUAUUCUAACCACUAUUAUAAUCAUAACACCCACAUUCGGGAAUUCUGUCAAACAGUUUGCAGACACACAGACGGGCGAAAACAGAACUACCAAAUUAGACCUCACAGCAACCGAAUCACUAUUCGAGAACAUACCCAUCAUUGGAUCGCAGAUCACGGGGUCCCAGGCGUAGUCGUGCACGAGCUGGCGCAAGGAGACGGCGAAAUGCGGGGAGGGAAUUGAGGGUGUGGAAGAGGGAAUUGAAAGUGGGGCCGGGGAGGUGGAAAGAGAGGGAGAGAGAAGUGGGGAGCUUGGAGGAGGAGAGCAGCGGAGAGAGGGAGGAGAAGAAGGGUCUGAAGGCGAAGAGAGAGGCGGAGAGAAGAAGGAAGGAGAGGAUGGUUUUGACGGCGGCGAGGAGGGCGGUGAGAAAUGGAGCUGGGUUUUGGAGGUGGAGGAAUGGGUUGAGGUCUAGGAGGAGGACGAUGCGCACAGUGCCUGCCUAUCAUGUAAAACCAUUGACAAUGAUACAAGACAGUUUAUUUGGACCUAUAAAACUAUAUUUAUGUAAAACUAUAUUUUAUUCAAUUUCAAAAAUUAGUACAUGCAAUGACAUGUUUGAUCGUAAAAAAAAAAAAAAUGAGAAAUUUUCAGUGUAUCAGAAAUACGAAUCGGUAAAAAAUCUCUCCAAAAAUACAUAUGCAUGUUUUAUUCAAAAGGAAAGGAAUGAGGCGCCAUCAUCCCUAACACACUUUAUUACAAGUAGUAUCAUCCAUUGAGGCAGAGAAGUUAAUUAGAUGCUGUCCUUAAUGGAUGCACUAUAACCGUUGUCAUAGAACCUGUUCCAAAGCAUAACUCCUCCGUACUUGGCCGAAUUCUUAAUUGUUGGAAGGACUUGUGACUUGAGAGCAUCAGCAGGAAUAAAUCCGCUGCGCGCGGCAUCAGUAGACGCCGGUAUCCCCAAGAACACCUGGGUGGCCGAAACCGAGGCCCAUCGGUUCCAACUGCUCAAAAGAGCGUCGGCAUUACCGUCUGCAUACUGGCAUUGGGCUAGGGGGUUGUUGUAGAACUGAACCCAAACGUAGUCAAAUAAACCGGUUGGAUAGCGCCGUCUAGGUGAGUAUCCGGGAACGGGCAUUGUGGAGCUGCGGCUAAAUAGACCGUUUUUCCCUGUCCGUUGUGUCCUUUGAGUGACCUGGCGAGCUCGUCGUAGAACUGCGUACCACCCAACUCAAUGUCGAAAUCGACGCCGUCCAAAACCGCGUCCCCAAGCGGGCGCGAAUCUGACUGACCACCUAGGAAGUUGUUCCAGAUGUAAUCAGCAACUUGCCUUGCCUCAUCAGCUGAAGUGAGAGAGUAAGUUUCGGUGGCCCCUCCAAUCGAGAGGAGGACUUUUAUGUUUUUUGAUUGGCAGGUUCUGAUGUCGGCACUCUGCCCCGUGCAAGUACCACUAGCGGGGUUGCAGUGGCCGGCGAGGUUUAGGACAGGGGCUUGGUUGUUUCCAAAAGUUGAGAGGAAAGCUAUGUUAACAAACUGGUAGUUGCCCGAGUUGCAAGCUUCUGCUAGGGUUCCUUCGUUGCCGUUUUGGCCCCAAUACGUCGCGAUUCCGGCGGCUUGGGAGGACUUGCAUGAAGAAAUGAGGAUCAAGAGGGACAGAGUUAGGGCUAGGGUUUGUGUUUUGGAUGCCAUUUUUGUAUGUGUUUUUUUGGGUUGUUGCUCAAAGUGCUUGGGAGGGGACAUGUAAUUAUAGGUGCAGGAGACUUACUGGUUAAGGUUUGGGGGAAGAAAAGUAUGACAGACGUGUUCUGCAGGUAAGAAAUGGGUGCCAGUCUUCCUCUUGCAACCGCGUCAAUCGAGUUAGCUGGGGCCUGUUUAGUCCAAGUCUUCCAUAAAACGCCGAUUAAGUUAGGUUGUGUUGAAAAUGCUUUCUUCAAAAAACACUUACACACGUAAGCGCUUC